UACGUAGGGUGCGAGCGUUGUCCGGAAUUACUGGGCGUAAAGAGCUCGUAGGUGGUUUGUCGCGUCUGCCGUGAAAGUCCGGGGCUCAACUCCGGAUCUGCGGUGGGUACGGGCAGACUAGAGUGAUGUAGGGGAGACUGGAAUUCCUGGUGUAGCGGUGAAAUGCGCAGAUAUCAGGAGGAACACCGAUGGCGAAGGCAGGUCUCUGGGCAUUAACUGACGCUGAGGAGCGAAAGCAUGGGGGAGCGAACAGG
rnacentral:rRNA from 1 species